rnacentral:rRNA from 1 species
AUGCAAGUCGAACGAUGAAGUUCCUUCGGGAAUGGAUUAGUGGCGAACGGGUGAGGAACACGUGAGAAACCUGCCUUUCACUCUGGGAUAACACCGGGAAACCGGUGCUAAUACCGGAUACUCCAUCUUGGCGGCAUCGCCGAGCUGGGAAAAAUUUUGAUGAAAGAUGGUCUCGCGGCCUAUCAGCUAGUUGGUGGGGUAAAGGCUCACCAAGGCGACGACGGGUAGCCGGCCUGAGAGGGCGACCGGCCACACUGGGACUGAGACACGGCCCAGACUCC